rnacentral:lncRNA from 1 species
UGAAAUUUUAUCCCUUUCAUCUUCCCACCCACCCCCAAAUUAAUGCACCUUAACCCUAAAUCUACGCCUUAUUUCACCCCACCAACCCAAUUGUCUGUCUUCCUCGCCUUAAUUCUUCCAAAUCACAAUCUUUUUGCUCAGGCUGUCUAGAUCGUUGACCCACCACUACCAGAUCCCUCAACGGCGACUUCUUAAUAUUUGUAGAAAUUCAAUUUGGUCUUGUGGAAGGAUUGUAAUUUAGGAGGUUAUAGUUGCAUCUGCAUGUCAUUUUGGUUGUUUCUGAAAUACUAGUUCUAGUUGUUGCUCUUGAUCUGAGGAGAUCAUAUUCUGGUUCUACAAUCGAUGCUUGGAUGGUGUGUUAAAAUGAUUGGUUUUUUCAUGUCAACAUUUUUGGGCUAAAAGUUGGAACUCUUAUGAAGAUUUCAUCACAACAACCACAAACUUGCAACAUGGUUCAAGAUACAG